GACGAACGCUGGCGGCGUGCUUAAGACAUGCAAGUCGAACGGAGAUACUCAUGAAGCUUGCGAUUGAGUAUCUUAGUGGCGGACGGGUGAGUAACGCGUGGGUAACCUGCCCUAUGGUCCGGGAUAACAUUCCGAAAGGGAUGCUAAGACCGGAUAUGCUCACAGCUCGGCAUCGAGCAGGGAGGAAAGGUAGCGCCAUAGGAUGGACCCGCGUCCCAUUAGCUAGUUGGUGAGGUAACGGCUCACCAAGGCGACGAUGGGUAGCCGGCCUGAGAGGGUGACCGGCCACACUGGGACUGAGACACGGCCCAGACUCCUACGGGAGGCAGCAGUCGGGAAUUUUCGGCAAUGGGGGGAACCCUGACCGAGCAACGCCGCGUGAGGGAAGAAGGUCUUCGGAUCGUAAACCUUUGUCAUCAGGGACGAUCAUGACGGUACCUGAGGAGGAAGCCACGGCUAACUACGUGCCAGCAGCCGCGGUAAGAGUCACGUCG
rnacentral:rRNA from 1 species